AGAUUAAGUUAUUAAGGGCGCACGGUGGAUGCCUUGGCACUAGAAGCCGAUGAAGGACGUUACUAACAACGAUAUGCUUUGGGGAGCUGUAAGUAAGCUUUGAUCCAGAGAUUUCCGAAUGGGGAAACCCAGCAUGAGUUAUGUCAUGUUAUCGAUAUGUGAAUACAUAGCAUAUCAGAAGGCACACCCGGAGAACUGAAACAUCUUAGUACCCGGAGGAAGAGAAAGAAAAUUCGAUUCCCUUAGUAGCGGCGAGCGAAACGGGAAGAGCCCAAACCAACAAGCUUGCUUGUUGGGGUUGUAGGACACUCUAUACGGAGUUACAAAGGACGACAUUAGACGAAUCAUCUGGAAAGAUGAAUCAAAGAAGGUAAUAAUCCUGUAGUCGAAAAUGUUGUCUCUCUUGAGUGGAUCCUGAGUACGACGGAGCACGUGAAAUUCCGUCGGAAUCUGGGAGGACCAUCUCCUAAGGCUAAAUACUCUCUAGUGACCGAUAGUGAACCAGUACCGUGAGGGAAAGGUNGUAAGGACAUGUGGAGCGCUUAGAAGUGAGAAUGCCGGUGUGAGUAGCGAAAGACGGGUGAGAAUCCCGUCCACCGAUUGACUAAGGUUUCCAGAGGAAGGCUCGUCCGCUCUGGGUUAGUCGGGUCCUAAGCUGAGGCCGACAGGCGUAGGCGAUGGAUAACAGGUUGAUAUUCCUGUACCACCUAUAAUCGUUUUAAUCGAUGGGGGGACGCAGUAGGAUAGGCGAAGCGUGCGAUUGGAUUGCACGUCUAAGCAGUAAGGCUGAGUAUUAGGCAAAUCCGGUACUCGUUAAGGCUGAGCUGUGAUGGGGAGAAGACAUUGUGUCUUCGAGUCGUUGAUUUCACACUGCCGAGAAAAGCCUCUAGAUAGAAAAUAGGUGCCCGUACCGCAAACCGACACAGGUAGUCAAGAUGAGAAUUCUAAGGUGAGCGAGCGAACUCUCGUUAAGGAACUCGGCAAAAUGACCCCGUAACUUCGGGAGAAGGGGUGCUCUUUAGGGUUAACGCCCAGAAGAGCCGCAGUGAAUAGGCCCAAGCGACUGUUUAUCAAAAACACAGGUCUCUGCUAAACCGUAAGGUGAUGUAUAGGGGCUGACGCCUGCCCGGUGCUGGAAGGUUAAGAGGAGUGGUUAGCUUCUGCGAAGCUACGAAUCGAAGCCCCAGUAAACGGCGGCCGUAACUAUAACGGUCCUAAGGUAGCGAAAUUCCUUGUCGGGUAAGUUCCGACCCGCACGAAAGGCGUAACGAUUUGGGCACUGUCUCAACGAGAGACUCGGUGAAAUCAUAGUACCUGUGAAGAUGCAGGUUACCCGCGACAGGACGGAAAGACCCCGUGGAGCUUUACUGUAGCCUGAUAUUGAAAUUCGGCACAGCUUGUACAGGAUAGGUAGGAGCCUUUGAAACGUGAGCGCUAGCUUACGUGGAGGCGCUGGUGGGAUACUACCCUAGCUGUGUUGGCUUUCUAACCCGCACCACUUAUCGUGGUGGGAGACAGUGUCAGGCGGGCAGUUUGACUGGGGCGGUCGCCUCCUAAAAGGUAACGGAGGCGCUCAAAGGUUCCCUCAGAAUGGUUGGAAAUCAUUCAUAGAGUGUAAAGGCAUAAGGGAGCUUGACUGCGAGACCUACAAGUCGAGCAGGGUCGAAAGACGGACUUAGUGAUCCGGUGGUUCCGCAUGGAAGGGCCAUCGCUCAACGGAUAAAAGCUACCCCGGGGAUAACAGGCUUAUCUCCCCCAAGAGUUCACAUCGACGGGGAGGUUUGGCACCUCGAUGUCGGCUCAUCGCAUCCUGGGGCUGUAGUCGGUCCCAAGGGUUGGGCUGUUCGCCCAUUAAAGCGGUACGCGAGCUGGGUUCAGAACGUCGUGAGACAGUUCGGUCCCUAUCCGUCGUGGGCGUAGGAAAUUUGAGAGGAGCUGUCCUUAGUACGAGAGGACCGGGAUGGACAUACCUCUGGUGUACCAGUUGUCGUGCCAACGGCAUAGCUGGGUAGCUAUGUGUGGACGGGAUAAGUGCUGAAAGCAUCUAAGCAUGAAGCCCCCCUCAAGAUGAGAUUUCCCAACUUCGGUUAUAAGAUCCCUCAAAGAUGAUGAGGUUAAUAGGUUCGAGGUGGAAGCAUGGUGACAUGUGGAGCUGACGAAUACUAAUCGAUCGAAGACUUAAUCAAAUU
rnacentral:rRNA from 1 species